rnacentral:rRNA from 1 species
GAUUUCUGGUAUGAUGUAUCUGUCCCGCCACGGUUAACGUGUGUGAGUGACGGUAUAUGUCUGCCAUCCUUCUAGAGGAAAUAUAGUGUUGGCCUUUACUGGUUCGAUAUUAUAUAUUAAUCUAGAUCUUUUACUUUGAAAAAAUUAGAGUGUUUAAAGCAGGCUUGCGCUAUGAAUACAUUAGCAUGGAAUAAUAAUUUAGGACUUUGGUCUUAUUUUGUUGGUUUCUAGGACUAAAGUAAUGAUUGAUAGGGACAGUUGGGGGUGCUAGUAUUCAGCGGCCAGAGGUGAAAUUCUUGGAUUCGCUGAAGACUAACUUAUGCGAAAGCAUU